UUCUUAUCAAGAGUGGCGGAGGGAUAUGCCCGACGAAGCCCAGCAACCUAAGUAAUCACUUAAGGUGCUAAUUCAUACAGGACAAAUGGUUCUGAAAGAUGAGAA
rnacentral:ncRNA from 2 species